rnacentral:rRNA from 1 species
CUUGAACGCUGGCGGCAGGCCUAACACAUGCAAGUCGAGCGCGCGGCGGACGGGUGAGUAACGUAUGGGGAUCUGUCCGAUAGAGGGGGAUAACUCCUGGAUACGGUUGCUACUACCGCUUACUAUCGGAUGAAUCCAUAUGGGAUUAGCUCGUAGGUGUGGUAAUGGAUCACCUAGGCGACGCUCCCUAGCUGGUCUGAGAGGAUGAUCAGCCACACUGGGACUGAGACACGGCCCAGACUCCUACGGGAGGCAGCAGUGGGGAAUAUUGCACAAUGGGCGCAAGCCUGAUGCAGCCAUGCCGCGUGUAUGAAGAAGGCCUUCGGGUUGUAAAGUACUGUUGGCAGAGAAGCGGUAUCUGCAGAAUAAGCACCGGCUAACUACGUGCCAGCAGCCGCGGUAAUUC